UACGUAGGCAGCGAGCGUUGUUCGGAGUUACUGGGCGUAAAGGGUGUGUAGGCGGUUGUUUAAGUUUGGUGUGGAAUCUCCCGGCUCAACUGGGAGGGUGCGCCGAAUACUGAAUGACUUCGAGUGCGGGAGAGGAAAGUGGAAUUCCUGGUGUAGCGGUGAAAUGCGUAGAUAUCAGGAGGAACACCGGUGGUGUAGACGGCUUUCUGGACCGUAACUGACGCUGAGACACGAAAGCGUGGGUAGCAAACAGG
rnacentral:rRNA from 1 species